UAUAAGUGGAUUCCAAAACCACGAAUGGUUCACAAGAACACAUCACAGGAUAAAAUCUACUAAUUUAUCAUUCCAGGCAUGCAGUGCAGAUAUAAACUCAAAACACAGUACUAGAUACUUGGAUAGUUUUCAGAACGACUAAGCAAAUGUUCACACCACCCAUUUUAACAUAGGAGUCACAUGAUUGGCAGCUAGGCCUUGCAGGCACCGGACUGUCAGGAGGAUGGUCAUUCGUUCAUUACAGGCUUGUUCUCGUUGGCCUUGAACCUCUGGUCCUUCGGCUUCUGCUCUUCCAUUUU
rnacentral:lncRNA from 1 species